AUUAGUAAAUCAAGCCUGGCUUGCUGUUGGACCUUUUGUCGUUAAAAGACAGGUCCUAAAGAUAAUGACGGCGUCAGUUGGACCCUAGAUGCAACGAGCUUUAAACUAGCACGCGUCUUAGUUGGUCCUUUUGACCCGGUCUUUUUAACCAAUUUUUCAAGGUUGACCUCGGAUCAGGUAGGAAUACCCGCUGAACUUAA
rnacentral:misc_RNA from 1 species